UACAGAGGUCUCAAGCGUUGUUCGGAUUCAUUGGGCGUAAAGGGUGCGUAGGGGGCGCGGUAAGUCGGGUGUGAAAUUUCGGAGCUUAACUCCGAAACUGCAUUCGAUACUGCCGUGCUUGAGGACUGGAGAGGAGACUGGAAUUUACGGUGUAGCAGUGAAAUGCGUAGAGAUCGUAAGGAAGACCAGUGGCGAAGGCGGGUCUCUGUACAGUUCCUGACACUGAGGCACGAAGGCCAGGUGAGCAAACGGG
rnacentral:rRNA from 1 species